UGUUGCCCUUACAGAGAGAAGCAGCGUGGAGAGGGGAGGGCCGGCCGGGCAGCAGCACACUGGUAGCCUGGUAGCAGCUCCCCUCAGUUCUUUCUCCACCUCAGUGACUCCCGCCGCCGCCGGGGGAGCAAAGGGCCGUACGAGCGCGGCGGCGACGGGGAGGGGGACGGAAGCGCUCGCGCCCAUCGCCGCAGCGACGUGGACCAAGCCAAGGGCCGCAGGGAAGCAAAAUUAGGCUGCACGUUGAGCAGUGCUAGCUUGUAGCCGCAACCAAGGGCUGCACGGACGCGCGGCGGCGACGGAGGCAAAGGCAGGCUCCACGUUGAGCAGUGGCUGCCUGUGCUGCUGAGGCUCCCGCAUGGAUGGAGGAGUUCUCCGGCGACUCUACGCUGUGCAAGAAGAAGCUUACAAUUACUCGCAGGACCAACAACAUGAGCAAGAGGAGAAACACCCAGGGGUCUUCCGGCUAGCUCCAUAAGAUAGUGGGCUAGACGACCUAGGAGCAAGAGAGCAUUACCAGAAAGAUGGAUCGAAUUCCUCAAGGCAAUAGAUGUUACGUAGAUGCUUCAUGGGAGGAUCAUGUUACUGGAAUUGGAAUUUUCUUUCAUUUCCCUUCCACCCAUAAUGCUCUUUUUAUCAAGGCUUCCACUAACUCAGCUCAAUCUCCCUUGCAAGCCGAAUUGAUUGCUUUGCAACUGGCUUUGGAAAUUGCCUUCUUUUUGAAUUUUGCAGGUACUAAUUUCCUUACAGACAGCGCUACAAUUGCAGACGAGGUGAAGACAAGGAAUUUCAGUGAGCAACCUGGCCAUUGGAGUCUUCGGCCAUUAUGGAGCCAAAUCACGACAACAAUUCCAAAUCAUCUUCUGAAGGUUUUCUGGAUAUCCAGAGAAAUAAACAUAAUUGCUGACAAGCUAGCUAAAGAAGCUAAAGCUGAUGCUCUAAUAAAGCCUAUCUAUAACUGCCAAAACAUCUCUCACAUUGCCUAUCCUUCGAGAGAUUGUCAUGCUUCUUCUCUGAAUGCUCAUUUCAGUUCUUUAAAUUGUAAAAUAAACCAUGUAUUAUGUUCCUAGUUUAAUAAAUCCUUUACUUAAAAAAAACAACAA